CUCCUUUGACGUUAGCGGCGGACGGGUCGAGUAACACGUGGGUAACCUACCUAUAAGACUGGGAUAACUUCGGGAAACCGGAGCUAAUACCGGAUAAUAUUUCGAACCGCAUGGUUCGAUAGUGAAAGAUGGCUCUGCUAUCACUUAUAGAUGGACCUGCGCCGUAUUAGCUAGUUGGUAAGGUAACGGCUUACCAAGGCAACGAUACGUAGCCGACCUGAGAGGGUGAUCGGCCACACUGGAACUGAGACACGGUCCAGACUCCUACGGGAGGCAGCAGUAGGGAAUCUUCCGCAAUGGGCGAAAGCCUGACGGAGCAACGCCGCGUGAGUGAUGAAGGUCUUCGGAUCGUAAAACUCUGUUAUUAGGGAAGAACAAACGUGUAAGUAACUGUGCACGUCUUGACGGUACCUAAUCAGAAAGCCACGGCUAACUACGUGCCAGCAGCCGCGGUAAUACGUAGGUGGCAAGCGUUAUCCGGAAUUAUUGGGCGUAAAGCGCGCGUAGGCGGUUUUUUAAGUCUGAUGUGAAAGCCCACGGCUCAACCGUGGAGGGUCAUUGGAAACUGGAAAACUUGAGUGCAGAAGAGGAAAGUGGAAUUCCAUGUGUAGCGGUGAAAUGCGCAGAGAUAUGGAGGAACACCAGUGGCGAAGGCGACUUUCUGGUCUGUAACUGACGCUGAUGUGCGAAAGCGUGGGGAUCAAACAGGAUUAGAUACCCUGGUAGUCCACGCCGUAAACGAUGAGUGCUAAGUGUUAGGGGGUUUCCGCCCCUUAGUGCUGCAGCUAACGCAUUAAGCACUCCGCCUGGGGAGUACGACCGCAAGGUUGAAACUCAAGGAAUUGACGGGGACCCGCACAAGCGGUGGAGCAUGUGGUUUAAUUCGAAGCAACGCGAAGA
rnacentral:rRNA from 1 species